GGGCCGCACGCGCGCUACACUGAUGCAUUCAACGAGUCUACAACCUUGGCUGAGAGGCCUGGGUAAUCUUGUGAACGUACGUCGUGAUGGGGAUAGAUUAUUGCAAUUAUUAAUCUUCAACGAGGAAUGCCUAGUAAGCGCAAGUCAUCAGCUUGCGUUGAUUACGUCCCUGCCCUUUGUACACACCGCCCGUCGCACCUACCGAUUGAAUGUCUCGGUGAAAUCCCCGGAC
rnacentral:rRNA from 14 species